rnacentral:lncRNA from 1 species
CCCGUCAAUCCUCGCCCAGAGGGUUAACCCCGCCUACUCCCUGCCGCCAUUGGCCAGGCUCCCCCGGCGCGGUGCUUUAAGAGGGGUAGGGCGGCAGGGGGAGCUUCUUCUUCUUCCGGUGCUGGUGGGGGGCGCGGUGUGAGCGGGGGGUGGGCAUGGGGCUGCCUGAGCCGCGAGUGCUCGGGGCCGGCUCGGGCGCUGCGGGGGGCCUGCGGGGCUGCCCCCGCCAGCCGGAGCAGCGCCCAAGAGGGGGGCGCGCCCGGCAGCAGCUCAGUUUGCGAGGAGCCUCUGGGCAGGCCCUGAGGCCUUUCCGAGGGCUUGGAGCGCAGUGCAGGAGAGUUCAGCGGCGGCCGGGCGAUAAUGAUUUAAAUCACCUGUUCAGAAGAAAUAUUAAUGGGACUUCCUUGAGACUCCUGAUGUUUUGUUGAUCUUCCUGUUAGAAGACCUAUUAUCACCUCAUUUUGAGAAGAGCAAUAGGAUUUGAUAUUCAAACUGCAGGGCUUAAAUGGUCAGCCACAAAUAAGAUUACUUCCAGGCACUCUGCAGCUGAGCAAAAACAGUAGUUAUGAGUCAGUGGUUUGAUGUGCUUAUGUAGUAUGCAAGCACACAUCUGAAAAUAUUAUUAGAGAGCUUUUUCUUUAUGUCCAAGUUAGAUACUUGUCUUCCUGACUUGUGGCAGGGGCUGGAAAUGAAGCCCCUUAUGUGUGUAAAUAGUUGAGCUCUGCUUAAGUGGUUUUAUCUUUUGAAGCUUUUUAACUGGGAUGGUUUGAGCUCCUGUUCUGCAUGCCAGGUAAAUAAUUUGAGACAUACAAUCAGGGCAGCAUCUGGCAGCAUUAACAUAUCCUAAAUUCUGAGAGCAUAAAGUAUGUUUAAAAUGUACCUACAGUUCUGGCCUGCACAGUUAAAAUCUGUGUGGCAUGCUUAAAUUGUGAAUGCUGAAGAAGCAGCUGUGAACAGUUCCUGAUUAUUUGGAAGAUGUACUAGGUUGAAGAAGUCAUGCAACAAGCAGCAGAACUGUUGAAAUACUAUGUUUUUUUUCUGGUAGAAACUCAAGUUCCAUGGGAAAUGGACACUUUAGAAUCUGAAGUGUAUCUAACUUGUCCUGGAUCUAACCAGGAGACCUAUAAGUAAGUUUGUUUCUGAACUAGACGAAUAAUUGAAUCAUACUUAUGCAUUCAUAGGAUACUCCCAAGAGGGUGUUUGUAUUAGCUUUAAAAUUUCAGUCCAUUUCGUAAUUGACAGAGGCGAAGAAUAUAUAUGAAGUUACAUAAGUCAGUUUUAAUGGAUGAUCUAUGUGAUCUGAGUGAGUUGAUUUGGAUCAAGGUAAGAAUGCCUUUAGCAGAGAGAAGUCAUGCUGGUAAUCAAAGCAAAAAUGUUUGAGCCUGGCAUUUAACAAUGAAAAAUGUUCAAGCUUAAAUGCAGACCUUGAAGCUAGAUAUAGAGUGAUACAGUCACAGAACAUCCCAAGUUGGAAGGGACCCACAUCGAUCAUCUCUUUAUGAAGAUUAUAUGUCAGUUCCUGCUAAGUCUGCUUUCGGAAUUGAGCAAUAGAAAGCUAUUCUAAUACAUGUAUCUCCUGUUCUUUGUGUUCACUUUUGACCAGUGUUGAAGAACAGGGUCCUGGGCCCUGAGCAUCAGGCUUAACUACUUAUGGUAAUCUUUACAAAUUGUGAUGUACUUAAAAUGCUGGAAGUGGCUUCUGGUCUUUCAUAAGCAUGGGAAAACCCUAGGGCAUCUUUUGCCUGUAAGGAAUUCUUGUUCUAGUCCUAGCGCGUGUUCAUGGCAUAGCUACCAUGAUAGGAGUGCUUUUGUUGGCUUGGUUUGAGAAUGUGCAGCUGCAGAGAGGCAAGGAAAGCUCGGAUGUGCGUGUAUUUACUGUCCACGAGGGGGCUCUGGCAGGUCGGGGCUGAAUGCCCAAGGUCCUCAACUGAGUUAUUUCACUAAAGUGGCAGGCUGUAGUAACUGGAUGCCUGUUGCCCCUGGGGUGAUUAAAUCUGUUCUGCUUUUCAAUUCCUAUACAAAAUCUUACUAUACAAAGUUCAAAAAAAAUACAGCAAGGUACUUUUCUGUCUCGUAAAAAAUGUUGUAUCUGUUAGAAAAACAUUUCUCAACUGCAGUGGGUAAAUGAUCUUUUCUAUGGGAGAGGACAGAUGCUACCAAAACUGUCAUCACAUGGGGAUCUCAACUGUAUGAGAAAUUUCUCCAAAUAAAAAUUCAAGUGUUUUGCACACAUCAGCACAUUUGUGUGCAACUCUGCAGUUUGCAUGGAAUUCUUAUAGAGAAUCUCAAGUAUGUUUUCCUUAGCAAUGUACACUUGGUGCUAUGGUAUUUCAAUAAAGAUUUGUUUUUUGUUACACACCCUUCAGUCUCUUUUUUCCUAGGAAUGUGUUUACAUGUUUUAACAGAUUUGAGUUCUUAUAACUUCCCUUUUGAAAAACUGCAAUCUAAUCUGUGUUGUGAGCCUAAAUCAUGUGAAUUGCUGUUGUUUAAUCUUUGCUGGACGAAUCUAUUAAAUUCUGAGGAGUGUGGAAGCUUUUUGUUUAAACAUUUGUCUCCAGUUGUUACUGUUAACAAUGUAACUUUGUUAGAUGUAGCAUAAAUAAGCUCACUUCUGUAAUUGAGGGUAACUCUCAGCUCUGGAAAUGCUGAGGCUACUUUUCAGCUAUAUACAUUUGUGGCAGUGCAGAAGGGACAUUGCAGGAAUGAAGAAAGUGAGACUUAACUGAGAAACUAAAAUGAACCAAUAUGAUCAAUGGCAUUAUAAAAAAUCUAGUUCCACUAUUACUUAAAGAAAAAAAAUCUCCCUCACUUGUGUACAUCUCCAUGUGGAUUUGAAUUUUUGUCAGUUUGAAUUAUUUUGACAAAUUUCUUGUGGGUGUUGAACAAUUCUUUGUUCUACUAAAGAACCUAAACUUGGAUGAGGUAAGUGAUAAAUACAGUGAUUCUCAGAAGACAGCUGUGGUGCGGAACUUGAGGGCUUGAGACUUUCCUGAGAACUCUAUGAAAGAAGUGUGCCUGGAAACUUGCCCAUGUUUGCCUGCAAUGUGGUGUUCUGGGAAUGUUCCUUGUAUAUGUGCAAACUAAACCAAGCGUUUUCCCAUUGUGGUAUUGUCCGUGGGUUUUGAAUUUGUUGUGGACUGGGCUAGGGUCUGCUUCCAUAAACCCCCGUAGAGGGUUUAUGGUGGUACUGCUGGAGCAGUGCAGGAUAAAAUCAGGAGUAGAACGGCUUUAGGUUAAAAAAAAAAAAAAAAAGGCUCUUCCAUGAACAAGCUAGAGGGGAGUAGGACAGAAAGGGCUAAAUAUGAGUGGCACACUGUUUAGCAGCUUCCUUGGACAUAGCUAUGGAAUUAUA